rnacentral:rRNA from 1 species
UGGGGAAUAUUGCACAAUGGGCGCAAGCCUGAUGCAGCCAUGCCGCGUGUAUGAAGAAGGCCUUCGGGUUGUAAAGUACUUUCAGUCGGGAGGAAGGUGUCAAGGUUAAUAACCUUGGCAAUUGACGUUACCGACAGAAGAAGCACCGGCUAACUCCGUGCCAGCAGCCGCGGUAAUACGGAGGGUGCAAGCGUUAAUCGGAAUUACUGGGCGUAAAGCGCACGCGGGCGGUUGAUUGAGUCAGAUGUGAAAUCCCCGGGCUUAACCCGGGAAUUGCAUCUGAUACUGGUCAGCUAGAGUCUUGUAGAGGGGGGUAGAAUUCCAUGUGUAGCGGUGAAAUGCGUAGAGAUGUGGAGGAAUACCGGUGGCGAAGGCGGCCCCCUGGACGAAGACUGACGCUCAGGUGCGAAAGCGUGGGGAGCAAACAGG